rnacentral:rRNA from 1 species
CAGUCGUACCUUCGGGUAAUCAGCCUUUCGGGUGCGAUUCUGUGGAGUGUGAGGAGUUAAACACCUUCAUGUUUUGCAUAUUCGUACUCUUGGGUGUACUUGCCCGUGUGGUUGGUUAACAUCAAUUUUGGUGGUCAUAAAAUGACUGGAGGAAUGUAGCUUCGAUCUCGUAUUGAAGUGUUAUAGCCUUCGGUAGAUGUGAUGAUCGAGAUUGAGGAUUGCAACGGAUACCCUUCGGGGCUACCUGUCUGAUCUCUGAUCGUUGCUCUGGUGCCGAAAGCUUGCUUACGGUUAUCAAAGUCGAUGGUCAAUAGGUUAGAACGGGUUAAAUUCGUUAAGGAUGUUGACGUAAUGGCUUUAAACGA